GCAGCCACUAUCACUUUUUCGACACCUGCCAUCAUCAAACUGUAAAUUGACUGCAGAUCAUGAGGCAGAGCAUCGUCUCAUCAUCACCUCUCACAAAUCUUCGGGAGAUCAAAGAGAGCAAGUGGGGAUAUUUCAGGAUCAGAGAGACAGAAAACAAAAGAGGGAAGGAGCCUUGUAACCAGAGAUUUCACACACAAUCCUGGCUGGAUGGGACAGGCUGGAUGGGACAGGCUGGAUGGGACAGGCUGGAUGGGACAAGCCAGGUGUUCAAGCAGCACACACAAAGAUACUCAUUGCUCCUUCAUCCAUCUUGCUUCUUUUGCCACAUAGCAGGUCAUAGGUCAAGGUGGAUGAGGCAGAGAGAGGCAGACA